CCAAUGAACAUUGGACACGUGUACGGCUCUAAUGCUCACCGCUCGUGUUCUUUCUUAUUAUCGGCGGGACAGAGCAGCAGGAACAUUGAGAAACCAGAGUAGUUUUCUUCACUCUAUACUCCAAUAUUAACAAUCAACCGUGUUCCUCGACAGGUCUCUCACUUUGUUUCCUCCUUGUUGCAAUCAUGAAAAAAGAGCUGCUGAUCCGUUUCUUUUCAGAAUCGGUCUUCCUGCGUUCGAUUUCUAUCCGCUCUCUACUUCUAUUUUGGGCAGUCAAAAGAGAGAGAUUCCUGAUGUUGUGGCUGCGUAUGUGUAUUCAUGGUCAUGAAGCUAGUUUUUAAUCUGAUAUUGUGAUUGAAUUUUAAUUGAACAAACAAUAAAAUUUAAUUGUAAAUUAUUAGGAAUGAUUUAUAUUUAUUUUUGCUUCUUUAUCAUUUGUACUUUUGUAGUUCCAUGGAUGGGUUCCGUCUAUGUUGUUUCGAGCUUGAUGCAAUGGAGGCUAAGCUUGCUUCAUGGUCGUUUGCUUUUGUUUUUGAAACUUUUUCAGAUGUAUCUCAGUGUCAGCUAUCACUCUUGCAUUAUAGCUUACUGGGGAAGCCCAUGCCAGAAGGGGAGUCGAGCUUGAUUUUAUUUUUUCACAUCUAAACCCAGCAUUCAAGUUUUGGUUCUUUUGCGGGUGAAUCAGCUUCAUGGACAUUUGCCCCAACCCUAUUGCCUAGAUGUCUGGAGAAGUUGAGGAAAGAGGUGAAUGACCUUUGGUGUUGUGAACCUGGUUUAACGCAUCUGGAAAUGGUUAGUGGAGAAUACCUUAUCUGGAAAUGGUACGUGUUUCUGAUUAAUGAUAAACUUUUCAGUGAUCAGUUUAUGCACCAUCUUUGGAUCAUGGUGUUGGAGAUCCAGAAGAAGAUGGAUGUCUUUGUGAGCCUUCAGCAUAUAAAGUGGUCAUAGUUGAAGGAAAUUAUCUAUUGUUGGAAGAUGGGGCUCGGAAGGAUGUGUCUUCAAUGUUCGAUGAGAAAUUAAGCGUUAUGUUCUUGCUAGGCUAGGACGUGUCUUCAAUGUUUGAUGAGAAAUGGUAAGUGUUUAUGUUCUUGCUAGGCUAUUUUCCUUCUCUAUUUUGUCGUGGAGCAGAUAUAUAUGCUGAGUAUUCAUGCCAGAUUUUUUUCAUUAGUGUUAUUUUCCCUAGUUUUUACACGUCUGACAGGGCUGGCAUGUAGCAAUAAUGUUGAGAGCUGUAUCAUGCUUAAGGGCAACUUUACAUUCUUAAGUUCUGCUUCCGAGAGCUUUUCUCACGUGGUUCAAAUCAGUGUUUCAAAAUCUGUUUUCUGAAUGUCCUCUCUUGGCACGAGACAGAAUUUCAGGGUCACUUUGAACCUUGUAUCUUUACAUUGGAUUAUCGUCUCAUGAUGCUGUCCAUGCCAGAACAUGGAAUCAAAAGUGCAAGAAAAUGAAGAUUAAGUCUGGAAGUUAGAUAUACAACGAUACACACUGUUGGGAUGCAACAUAGUCUUUAGAUCACAAUGUGUUGCGAACCUGCAGUCCAAUUCAGUUAACAUCAUCUUGGGUUCGUGCUGCUGUUGGGAUUAGUAAUUGCUGUUUCCCUUGCUUUGCUAAUUUAUGAAACCAGACGUGAGCAAUUGGCACUUAAUUCUUACAGGUAAUACACUUAAUGAAAACGUCCGAUCACUAACUUUUUUCCACAUCUUUUCAACUCCCCUUUCAACACACAAGAUUUUCCUAUAGGAUAGAAUUGUAUAGACUGUUAUGAGCAGAUGAUAACUUUAACUUGAACGUUUUGAGGUUGGGUGAAUUGCUUGCACCAUCUUGGAAAUGUGCCCCAUCUUCACAGCAAGCCACUUUUAUCUCUUCUGUUUUUUUUUUUUUAAGGUUUAUUGAUGUGGACAUUGAUACAGGAAGACAUAUAGUUUUAAAGAGACACAUUUCAAAAGGCAUGGGCUCAUUUUCUGUUUUUACUGGUUACUGCUCCUACAGUUCUACUAGGGAAAGGAAAGAAAGUCUUGUGAUUUUAAUUCUAUGUUGUCUAACAGGAAAGCCUCCAGAUGUUUCAAAAUGGCGGAUAGUACAACGACCAGCGUAAUGCAGAGCUGAUUAUCAAGUCAAAGAAAAAUGCAGAUUUAGUAAUCAGGCUGCAUAAUGUUGCCUGAGACAAGUCGGAACAUGGUCUGGGGGCUGCAUGACAUGUUGCUUGAAUGCAUUGGAAAAGCCAUUCAUAUCCCACGAAGUCGGGCUAAUUUCUCCUCCAAGAACAAAAGACGAUGGCAGAUUGGUGUCCAGAUUUCCAAACAACAAAAGCCGAAGAUUACGUGUGGUGUGGUUUACGGGUAACUUGAUUAUUUUCUUAGGGUAUCAGAUUAUUUGGAUGUGAAAGGAGUAUGCUCCCAUAGUACCUUUUUGUAUCUUGAAACAUUCUUCACCGUUAUCAGCUUGAUGUGCAGUUUCAUGGCUACCCUGUUCGUCACUAA